rnacentral:rRNA from 1 species
UGGGGGUAAAUUAAUAAAAUAAUAUAAUAAUAAAAAAAGUUUUAAUUAAAUAUUUAAUGGGGGUUAAAGUAUUUAUUUAGAAAAAAUUUUUAUAUUUAUAGUGAAUUAGUAUUGUGAAAGAAUUUUGAAAAAUUUUGAAAAUAAAUUAAUUAAAAAGUAAAUUUAAUUUAUUAUAUCUUGUGUAUCAGAGUUUAUUUAAUAAAUAUUUUUUUAUUAAAAAUAUCUCGAAUUUAAAAGAGAUAAUUAAUUAAUAAAGUUAAUGUUGAAUAAUUAUUUUUAAUAAUUAAUUUGAAAUGAAAUGUUAAUCGUUUUUAAAUAUAUCUAGUUUUUUUAGAAAAAAAUUUAAUUUUAAAUUAAUUUUAUUUAUAAUUAAUUUUUAAAUUAAUAAAAAAAUUUAAUUAAAUAUUUUAAGGGAUAAGCUUUAAAUUAAAAUUUUAUAAUAUAAUUUAAACUUAAAAUAAAAUUUUUAAAAUUUAUAUUUUUUAUAAAUUAUAGUUUUUUAUAAAUAAUUUUAUUUUAAUUAAAAUUUAAUAUAUGGAUUUAUUUAAAUUUUUAUAAAAAAAUAUUUUAAAAUAAUAAAAAUUUAGUAAUAAUGAUAAAAUUAGUAUAUUUAUUAAAAAUAAAAUAAAAUGGAUUAAAUUUAAGAAAAAGGAAUUCGGCAAAUAUUUAUAUUCACUUGUUUAUCAAAAACAUGUCUUUUUGAGAAUAAUAUAAAGUCUAAUCUGCCCACUGAAUUAAAUUUAAAGGGCUGCAGUAUAUUGACUGUACAAAGGUAGCAUAAUCAAUAGUCUUUUAAUUGAAGACUGGUAUGAAUGAUUUGAUGAAAUAUAAACUGUCUCUUUUUUAAAAAUAGAAUUUAAUUUUUUAGUUAAAAAGCUAAAAUAUAUAUAAAAGACGAGAAGACCCUAUAGAGUUUAAUAAUUUUUUAUUUUUAAAUAAUUUAUAUAUUUUAUAAUUUAAAAAUAAAAAAUUAUUUUGUUGGGGUGAUAGAAAAAUUAAAAUAACUUUUUUUAAAAAUUAACAUUAAUAUAUGAAUAUAUGAUCCAUAAUUUAUGAUUAAAAGAAUAAAUUACCUUAGGGAUAACAGCGUAAUUUUUUUUUUUAGUUCGUAUAAAAAAAAGAGUUUGCGACCUCGAUGUUGGAUUAAGAUAAAAUUUAAAUGCAAAAGUUUAAAAUUUUUGAUCUGUUCGAUCAUUAAAAUCUUACAUGAUCUGAGUUCAAACCGGUGUAAGCCAGGUUGGUUUCUAUCUUUAUAGUAAUAAAAUAAUUUAGUACGAAAGGAUCAGUUAUUUUAAAUAAUUUAAUUAUUAAGAAUAUUAAUAAAAUUAAUUU